rnacentral:rRNA from 1 species
AACGAACGCUGGCGGCAGGCCUAACACAUGCAAGUCGAACGCGCCCGUCGUGGUGAGCGGCGGACGGGGGAGUAACGCGUGGGAACGUGCCCUUUUCUACGGAAUAGCCUCGGUAAACAGAAAUUAAUACCGUAUACGCCCUUUGGGGGAAAGAUUUAUCGGAAAAGGAUCGGCCCGUGUUGGAUUCGGGGGUUGGGGGGGUAAUGGCCUACCAACCCGACGAUGCAUAGCUGGUUGGGGAGGAUGACCCGUCAGACUGGGACUGAGACCCGGCCCAGAACCCUAGGGGAGGGAGGAGAGGGGAACAUUAGACACGGGAGGCUACUCUAGUAUAGCCGUGCCGGGUGAGAGAGGCAGGCGUUAGGGUUGUAAAGCCCCCUCUGAUGGGGCGAUAAUGACGGUAACAGCAGAAGAAGCCCCGGCUAACUACGUG